rnacentral:rRNA from 1 species
AUUGAACGCUGGCGGCAGGCCUAACACAUGCAAGUCGAGCGGCAGCGGGAAAGUAGCUUGCUACUUUUGCCGGCGAGCGGCGGACGGGUGAGUAAUGCCUGGGAAAUUGCCCAGUCGAGGGGGAUAACAGUUGGAAACGACUGCUAAUACCGCAUACGCCCUACGGGGGAAAGCAGGGGACCUUCGGGCCUUGCGCGAUUGGAUAUGCCCAGGUGGGAUUAGCUAGUUGGUGAGGUAAUGGCUCACCAAGGCGACGAUCCCUAGCUGGUCUGAGAGGAUGAUCAGCCACACUGGAACUGAGACACGGUCCAGACUCCUACGGGAGGCAGCAGUGGGGAAUAUUGCACAAUGGGGGAAACCCUGAUGCAGCCAUGCCGCGUGUGUGAAGAAGGCCUUCGGGUUGUAAAGCACUUUCAGCGAGGAGGAAAGGUUGAUGCCUAAUACGUAUCAACUGUGACGUUACUCGCAGAAGAAGCACCGGCUAACUCCGUGCCAGCCGCCGCCGUAACAC